CACGUCAGCUAUCAAGUUUUCGCUGGCCGUCAGGUUGCUGGGGUUGAGGUUGUCACUGGCUGUCAUGUUGUCACUGGCAGUUACAUUGUCACUGGCAGUCACAUUGCUGGGGUUGAGGUUGUCGCUGGCCGUCACGUUGUCGAGGUUGUCGCUGGCCGUCAGGUUGUUGGGGUUGAGGUUGUCACUGGCCGUCAUGUUGGGGUUGAGGUUGUCACUGGCCGUCAUGUUGUCACUGGCCGUCAUGUUGACAGGGU